GUGUAACGUUAUUACGCAGAAAGGCAGUUCACGACGCACAAUAAAAAGCAAUAUCAAAAGUGAAGUUUUGUACAUGAGUUUUCGAAUAGUUAUUUUUUUCAAAAAGAUAAUUUCAUUUGUAAAAGAAUGAGUUUUUGUACUAGUUUUUUUUUUUUAGACUUGCGAAAAUUCAAGCAAAUGCUGUAGUGAUGCAGAGGAGUAUAUUUGAAUAAGAGAAUGGAAGGAAGGUUCGUUAGCAAAUUUAAGAAAGUAGGGAAUGUAAACAAAAUGGCCGCAAAAAAUAAAGCGAAUUAAGGAAGAAGCCUUGUUUUGAAGAAACACAUCGAAAAACGAAAGGAGGGCUUUUUUCUGGGGGAAGAGGGUGAUUAUGGGAAUCACUGUGAAAUG